rnacentral:rRNA from 1 species
CCGCCCGUCACAUCAUGAAAGCCGGUCGUACCCGAAGUCGCUGUGCCAACCGCAAGGAGGCAGGCGCCGAAGGUAUGGCUGGUGAUUGGGAUG